CCAUCUUCUGGAUCUCCUGAGCAAGUCUUACGUCAUUUUCUCUGAAGCGAUCAGCUGAGAUGAUGAUGCAGAAGUCAAAUCUUUCAAAUCCAACAUGCUGCAGGUACUUGUCAGCUGGAAAUUUGAUGGUGCCAAUACCAGGCAGAUCCCACAGUGUGACAUUGGAACAUUUUGGAUGGGGGUACGAUUUGACCUCCAUGGUGGUUUCUGUACAACCAGUAGGGGCAGCUGCAGCACUCUUAUCCUUCUUGUCUAUGCCUCUAAAGGCAUUAACAAAGGUGGAUUUACCAGAGCCAGACUGUCCUGUGAUGGCGAUGUUGAGUUGGAUAUUAUUCUUCUUUCAAAUAAGCCUGGAUCUUUGCAGUUGCUGUGGCAGCUCCAUAGCUUUGUAUAAUUUAUUUACAAACCUUUCUUUUCUUCAUCGAUCCCAUUAUGAGAUGGAUUAUCCAUAGCACUACCUGGGAAAAAAUGCACCUUUUCUUUAUUUUUGAUCUUGGGAAUUACAGGAUAAAUAUCUUAACCCUUAUCUAAUCAGACAUAGAAAUACAAUAAGUAUGAUACACAUAUUAUUACAAUACCCAAAAGGAUGGGAUUGCAUUUUAAUACAUGUAUUUUCUUUUGAAGGUGGUUGUCCUGAUCCCUCAAACAGUCAAGGAAAUUUCACAAAAUAAUAUAAGAUAAGUAAUUGUAGGUCAAUUCAAAGCAAAAUCAUGCAAUAACAAACAGGUGCACCUUUGGCAUUAACAAUUCAUUUUAACACACAGUAUCCGUUAAUAUGUGUCUUACCGUAUGAUGCAAUUGGAACGUGGCUACUCAGCAGGAAAGUUGAACUUCUUUUCUGCGCUGUUGCACGGGUUCAGAUUUUAAAGAGGUCAGCCCCUGAGACACUCAAUGAAAUUACAUUUUUCUUGCAGUGAGUGACAGGAAAUCUUAAUCAAUCAGUGUUCCCUUGUCUGUGGUUUCAUUCAAAGCACCUGGUUUACAGAGAGGAGUGUGUUUGUAAAAUGCAGAUUUUGUUCUCAUGACAUUUCAUUGACCUGACAUAGAAAUAUAAAGAAGGGAGUGUAUCUGACCGAUUUUGAAUGUAAAAGAAAAUAUAAAUAUUUGAAUCAUCCUGUUUCGUAUCAAUUACUCUGAGGGUUAUCUGCUGUCUAACGGUCUAGUCAGCCGUCUCAUUAUCUUCUAUCUUGACUCAUGCUCUAGCUUUAUUCACCACACGACCCUCUUAUCCUUUUUAAGGACAGCGUUGGUUAUCAUCACACAUUCAUUUUUUCAAUCAACCUCUAUAGAAAGAAGAGUCAGUCUGAAAUUAUCUAUUUUUCUGACCAUGUCCACAUUAUCGCCCAACAUGAUUAAUACAGUCAUACAUGAUAUACACAUACAUUUAAUCAACUUAAUAUACAACAUAAUGUCAAAUAAAUAUUUGUAAACAUACUGUUUUUAAACUACUUUAAGUCAUGAGGGAAUGACAUGCAAAAUUAUAAUAAUAAUAUCUAAUAAAAACAUUGUACACGUAUGAUUAAAAUAAUCUACCCUUAUUCCCUAGCAUCGAACAACAUGAUCGCCAUAAGAAUUUCUGUCAGUCACUGCAGCAGGUGUUUGAUUUGGGCACUUCAUUGCUUGUAUAACAGGAUGAACUUUAUAUUGGUUUUUACCCUUUAUUUAUUUGGUCAUAUAGAGUUGGUUUUUAUUCACUUCUUGUUCUUUUUAUAUAGCGGUGCCAUACUGCUGUUGUUUUUCCUAGAAUUGUCCAAAAUGUUGUUUGAGUAUUGUGAUAGAUGUGAAAAUUGCUAUAAAUGAAAUAACGAUAAAACGUCACGAUCUGUCUGUGUUUUUCUGUGUUUAAUUUUGAAUUGUCAAGAUCUGUCUUUGUGUUCCUGUUUUAUUUUGAAAAGUGUGCACCCCCCUAGAUAUGUCUGCUUUUACUUACUGUCUCGGUGUUUCCCUCCUGUUUGAUUUCCUGAUUGUGUUCACCUGGUGCUCCUGUAUUUUUCCUCCCUCCCCACCUGUGUCUUGUCUUUCUGAUUACUCUUGCUAGUAUUUAAGUUCUGUUCAUCCUUCAGUUUUUGUGAGAUGGUUGUUGACUUUGAAUGUGUUCUAGAGGGACAGAGUUUGGUCUGUAUGUAUCUUGUUUGCCUUGAAAUAAAUGUAUUUUUGGUUUGGUUGGACACCGAUGUUAUUAAGGAAUGUUCUAGCCCUUGGGCAGUGCCCAUUAUACUUGUGAAAAAGAAAAAUGGAUCCUGGCGCUUCUGUGUUGAUUACAGGAAGCUCAAUUCCCUGACUCACAAAGACGCCUACCCCCUGCCCAGAAUAGAAGAAUCCCUCACAAGUCUAAAACAAGCCACUUGGUACUCCACUCUGGACCUUGCAAGCAGAUUUUGGCAGAUGGUGUUCCAGGGGAUGCCCUUUGGCCUCUGUAAUGCCCCUGCCACUUUCCAAAGACUAAUGAAGUGCUGCCUGACAGCACAGGUAAAUGAGUCUCUACUGAUCUAUUUGGAUGAUGUGGUGGUAUACUCCCCUGAUUUCGACACCCACAUUUAACACCUGUCUCCGAAAAGCUGGUUGUCCACGGCCUGAAGUUGCAGCCUCAUAAAUGCGGCCUGUUUCGGAAAAAGGUCACCUACCUCGGCCACGUCAUCUCGAAGGAUGGCGUAUCCACAGACCCUGAAAAGACAGCAGCUGUAAAGAAUUGGGCUACCCCAUUAACUAUCAAGCAGAUACAGACAUUCCUUGGGUUUGUGGUAUAUUACAGCCUAAUAUCCCACAGACAUGCCCGCCUGCCUGUUGAAACUGCUGUGGGAGCACCACCACGGAAUCAAAGACACGAGCUGGUAGGCAGGGUUCUCCAGUAUAACCUGACCUUGCAGAGAGUCUACAAACAGGUGGCAGCAAAGACCAGAGAUAACCGACUGCGAGACAAGGGCAGGUAUGAUCGAAAAGAAGAGCACCUCCCGUUGUUACCCAGAGAGCAGGUGCUGUUGCGAAACUUCUGCUGCAGAGAUCAUGGCAAGAGGUCAUGGCAAGUUGGCGCCCCACUGGCAGCCCCAACUAUGUUGUUCAUGAUCAACUACACCCUGGCCAGCCUGUUUAGGAAGGCCCUAUUAAGACAUUCCAUUGGAACCAUCUUUGGCCUUGCCCUUUCAAUCCAACUGAAGUGCCACAACAAGCCCUAGAGACUGAAUCAAACCUUCUUCCCCAAUGUGCUACUUCCUAGGCCCCUGUUGUAACCCUUGUGCCUACAGUAUUUGCCCCUCCCACAGGUCCUGUAGGAGAGGACCCUGUAGACCGACAAGAGCCGAGAAAUGGAUCACCCCUGCGAAGGUCUGAGAGACAAAGGGGUAGGGGUAGGCAUCCAGACAGGUAGGCUAUGGACAGUAAGACUGUUGGAUGACAACUGUUAAAGUGGGGAGGAGGGUCAUAAAGUGCAGAGAGUGUGAUGUAUGGUUAAAUCUAUUUGUGAUUGUUGCAGGUGUUUGUUAUGAUUUUAAUAUUGUUGUGCACUAUAAUAGCGAUGAACUCUUGUUGUACAUAUUUGCACGCUUCUUUAACCUGCUCCACGAACUAACACAGACACGUUGCUAAUUGACACACCUGAACCCAGUUAAAUCCAGCGAUAUCAUCCGCCAGUUGCCGACGCCACUCCACUAUAAAUACGCCAGAUUACCUCCUGGACGGGGCGAUGUUUCUUUCAACAGUUGCUGAUUUGCCUUGCCGCAGAUCGGACCGGGUCGCAUUGCUCUUCGUCAGACCUUCCUCCUCUCGCCCUGGUGAAGCGGCCAGCUCCAACCAUUGGUCUUUCAACGCUCGCUAAACUCCAAGCUAAGGGAAGUGAUUAUUUUCUCCUCAUUGAGCUUGUGUUUUAUGUCACUGAAGUUCAUUUGGAGUACCCUGAGUUCUCUUUCUGUGUACGGAGGGCUCCGUGAUCAGAGGGCGACGGCAGAGUAGCAGUGACGAUAUUAUUUGUUGAUCGGCACAAAUAAUUCUUUGUAAAACAGCGGCAGGCCGGUCAUGUAGAACUUCCUGCACUGGAUUUCCCGGACUGGACCGAAACAGUGGCUGCACUUCAUCGACAGUCCCGUAGCACGCCCUUUUCCAGUAGCAAGGGUAGAUACGGGGUGGAUUUCAAUAUUAACAGGACUGAACUUUUAAUACUUUGAAACCACACGCCUGACCCAUUGCUUAGCUGUAUUGAACAUUAUUUUAACCGUUUUAAAAAUAUAUAUAUUUAAAGUUGUUUUCAAGUAAAAUUGUAAUAAAAAAAUUAAUCAUUUUA